GUCCGUAUCGAUUAGUGGUCAAAUCAUCUCGUUGUGGUACAUGCCUUGUGCAAGCUCCGAGAAGCCGCAGGCUCGAAUCCUGCUACGGACA